rnacentral:tRNA from 1 species
CAUUCUAGUAGCUUAACCUAUAAAGCAUUGGUCUUGUAAACCAAAGACUGAAGACUACAACCUUCCUAGAAUAA